UAUCUUUGUUUUUGUAUUGGUGUUACAAGUCCGCAUUUGCCGGAUAGUAAUGAAAAGGGAAUCAGGUGUAAAUCCUGAACAGUCGCGCUGCUGUAAACUCAUGUAAGCGUUUAUACAAAUCCUCAAGCCACUGUUGUGAAAAACGGGAAGGUCGUAUAAACGGGAGUAAGUCAGAAGACCUGCCAAAGCAUAUAUUUUCAU
rnacentral:ncRNA from 2 species